UACGAAGGGUGCAAGCGUUAAUCGGAAUUACUGGGCGUAAAGCGUGCGCAGGCGGUUGUGUAAGUCAGAUGGGAAAUCCCCGGGCUCAACCUGGGAAUUGCAUUUGAGACUGCACGGCUAGAGUGUGUCAGAGGGGGGUAGAAUUCCACGUGUAGCAGUGAAAUGCGUAGAGAUGUGGAGGAAUACCGAUGGCGAAGGCAGCCCCCUGGGAUAACACUGACGCUCAUGCACGAAAGCGUGGGGAGCAAACAGG
rnacentral:rRNA from 1 species